rnacentral:rRNA from 1 species
UAGGGAAUCUUCCGCAAUGGACGCAAGUCUGACGGAGCAACGCCGCGUGAGUGAAGAAGGAUUUCGGUUCGUAAAACUCUGUUGUUAGAGAAGAACAGCGCAUAGAGUAACUGUUAUGCGUGUGACGGUAUCUAACCAGAAAGCCACGGCUAACUACGUGCCAGCAGCCGCGGUAAUACGUAGGUGGCAAGCGUUGUCCGGAUUUAUUGGGCGUAAAGCGAGCGCAGGCGGUCAAUUAAGUCUGAUGUGAAAGCCCCCGGCUCAACCGGGGAGGGUCAUUGGAAACUGGUUGACUUGAGUGCAGAAGAGGAGAGUGGAAUUCCAUGUGUAGCGGUGAAAUGCGUAGAUAUAUGGAGGACCACCAGUGGCGAAGGCGACUCUCUGGUCUGUAACUGACGCUGAGGUUCGAAAGCGUGGGUAGCAAACAGG